AAAAAAGGCAAAGGCACGCGAAGGGGAAAAAGACGGUAGAAUCAAUUUGAAAAUUUAAUUACGUUCCUUCAAUUCCCGGUGAUGUCUUCCACAAUUUCUUGUUUUUCUUCUAUCACUAUGCAUAGAUAAAUUUAAAUUUUAGGGCGAACAAUGUAACUGAUUUGGGACCUUUAUUUCUUUUAUUUGAGUUAUUGUUCUUUUA
rnacentral:lncRNA from 1 species